UCCCUGGUGUCUCAGAUGGUAAAGAAUCUGCCUUCAGCGCAAGAGACCCAGGUUCGAUCCCUGGGUUGGGAC
rnacentral:tRNA from 1 species